UACGUAGGGUGCAAGCGUUGUCCGGAAUUAUUGGGCGUAAAGAGCUCGUAGGCGGUCUGUCGCGUCGGAUGUGAAAAUCCAGGGCUCAACCCUGGACCUGCAUUCGAUACGGGCAGACUAGAGUUCGGUAGGGGAGACUGGAAUUCCUGGUGCAGCGGUGAAAUGCGCAGAUAUCAGGAGGAACACCGGUGGCGAAGGCGGGUCUCUGGGCCGAAACUGACGCUGAGGAGCGAAAGCGUGGGGAGCAAACAGG
rnacentral:rRNA from 1 species